AAAUUUAUAGUUUAAAUGGAAAAACAAAAAUUUUCUAAAUUUUUAAUAUAAGUUCGAAUCUUAUUAAAUUUG
rfam:Theileria parva strain Muguga apicoplast, complete genome, whole genome shotgun sequence.